rnacentral:rRNA from 1 species
UAUACUUAGUGGCGGACGGGUGAGUAACGCGUGGGCAACCUGCCCCGUGCCGGGGGAUACCGCCUGGAAACAGGCGCUAAUACCGCAUAAGCGCAUACAGCCGCAUGGCAGUAUGCGGAAAGCUCCGGCGGCACGGGAUGGGCCCGCGCCCGAUUAGCCAGUUGGCGGGGUAACGGCCCACCAAAGCGACGAUCGGUAGCCGGCCUGAGAGGGCGGACGGCCACAUUGGGACUGAGACACGGCCCAAACUCCUACGGGAGGCAGCAG